ensembl:lncRNA
AUGCUCGCCGCCCCUGCGGGGGCCUCUUACACCAGAGAUCAGUCUCGAGAGACUGAUUCCCUUAGUAGAUUAUUUGCCAGCAUGGAAACUACUGCCAAAUGUAUCUCAAUGGGUCCUGCACACAGUAGAAAAAGGCUACCGUAUUCAGUUCGGCUCUGCACCACUGAUGUUCAACGGGGUUACUCCGACGAUAGUCGGCCCCGAGCAGGGUCUGGUUAUGGAACAAGAAGUGAAAGCCCUAUUAGAGAAGGAGGCCAUCAAGGUGGUCCCUCCUCAAGACAAGGAAUCCGGGUUUUACAGCCGGUAUUUCAUAGUUCCAAAGAAGAAUGGGGGGUUGCGUCCGAUCAUAGACCUGCGGGUCUUAAAUCGAUCAGUUAUGAGACUGAAGUUCAAAAUGCUGACGAUCAAGCAUGUUGUAGCUCAGACCAGGUCCGAGGACUGGUUUGUCACAAUAGAUCUCAAAGAUGCAUACUUCCACAUAUCCAUCCUUCCACAACACAGGAAGUUUCUGAGGUUCGCUUUCGGGGGCGAAGCUUACCAAUAUCGAGUACUUCCCUUUGGCCUUGCACUCUCACCCCGCACGUUCACAAAAUGUGUAGAUAUGGCUCUGGUCCCCCUGCGCAUGCAGGGCAUCCGCAUUCUCAAAUAUAUCGACGAUUGGUUGAUUUUAGCUCAGUCAGAGCAGGUUGCGGCUCGGCAUCGAGAUGUCGUUCUCGCACAUAUGGGGGAGCUGGGUUUGAGACUGAACGCCAAGAAGAGCAAUCCACUUCGAACUAUCAAGGUCACGCGGCGCUGCCUCCGUGCCUUAGACAUGUGGAAGAAACCUUGGUUCUUGAAUCAGGGCCCGGUGCUGGGAGCUCCUGGUCGCCGUGUAACACUAGCGACGGAUGCUUCCCUCACUGGCUGGGGUGCGGUCAUGCUGCCCGCGGUCUGUGGAGCAGUCGCCAUCUGACAUGGCAUAUCAAUUGUCUAGAAAUGCUAGCAGUUUAUCGUGCACUGAAGCACUUCCUCCCAGACCUAAGGGAUCACCAUGUGUUGGUGCGCACCGACAACACAUUUGUGGUCUCUUACAUCAACCACCAGGGAGGUCUGCGUUCGCGCCCCUUGUACAAGCUGGCGCACCAGAUCCUUGUGUGGUCCCAGGACAAACUCCUCUCACUCAGAGCAGUGUAUAUUCCUGGGAAACUGAAUGUGGGAGCAGACAUACUGUCGAGGCAGGGGCCGAGGCCCGGGGAAUGGAAGCUUCACCCCGAGGUGGUGGAGCAGAUAUGGAGAGUUUUGGCAGAGCUCAAGUAG